rnacentral:piRNA from 1 species
UUAGAUGCAUUGGUACUAGCU